UACGGAGGAGGCAAGCGUUAUCCGGAAUUAUUGGGCGUAAAGCGUCCGCAGGUGGCACCUCAAGUCUGCUGUCAAAGACCGGGGCUUAACCCCAGAAAGGCAGUGGAAACUGAAGCGCUAGAGUGCAGUAGGGGUAGAGGGAAUUCCCGGUGUAGCGGUGAAAUGCGUAGAGAUCGGGAAGAACAUCGGUGGCGAAGGCGGGUUGCUGGGCUGAUACUGACGCUGAGGCGCGAAAGCCAGGGGAGCAAACGGG
rnacentral:rRNA from 1 species